UUCAACAUUAUUUUCUCUGUAUAAACUCUCUCUCUAUUCUAGAGAGUUCCAAACGCUCUGCCUUCUCUCUACAUUUUUCAUGAUUUCUCGGUCUAAUAUCAAUGUUUACAUGAUAUCAAAGCCUAGACGACGAUCUGAUUAUGUUUCUCUACAUCUCGUUGUCUUGGUUGAACUCUUUUUGAGAUUUUUUUGGGGAUUUUUCUGAGACCUUAUGGUCGAUGAUGCUUCUGACCUAGAUCGGAUGCUUUUCCGAGUUUUUCAUCAUGAUAUCUGAGUGUAUUUUCUUCACUCGAACGUUCUGGGAGAUUUUCUGCUGAUUUUUUGGUGGUUUCUCGGUGACCUAUCGGCUUCUGGGGUUUCUGGUGGUUUAACCUAGAGUUUUACUGCUAUCCGGUGGCUCGAUUCUCACUCAGUGGAUGUUUUGGGUGCCUUUCCAACAUCCCUGACCACAUCUUCAGUAAGGAUUUCAACGGUUACACCUAGGGUUUUGUACCCAGGGUUUUCUCUGUUGUUUGAAGGCCGAUCUUCUCCGAUAGCGAAGAAGGAGGGUAACUCUGUCCUUAUCUUCAGUAUUAUAUGCUUUGUGUGUGAUUAUCUGACUAUGUAUGUGAGUAUCUGGUGUUGUGUGUGAAUACCUGAUUUGGUUAUACUCUGUUUGUUGAAAAACUGUUCAUUGACUAUGGCUUCUAACACAAAUGCUGGUACCUCCUCUUCUGUAGACUCUUCCAGUCCCCUUUUUGUAUAUUCCUCUGAUGUCCCUGGGGUCUCUCUUGUUCCCACUCCCUUCUCGGGUAGUGGUUA
rnacentral:lncRNA from 1 species